CUGGAGACAGGUGCUGCAUGGCUGUCGUCAGCUCGUGUCGUGAGAUGUUGGGUUAAGUCCCGCAACGAGCGCAACCCUUGCCUUUAGUUGCCAGCAGUUCGGCUGGGCACUCUAAAGGGACUGCCGGGUGUUAAACCGGAGGAAGGUGGGGAUGACGUCAAGUCCUCAUGGCCUUUAUGACCAGGGCUACACACGUACUACAAUGGCCGAUACAAAGGGCAGCGACACUGCGAGGUGAAGCCAAUCCCGUAAAAUCGGUCUCAGUCCGGAUUGGAGUCUGCAACUCGACUCCAUGAAGUUGGAAUCGCUAGUAAUCGUGGAUCAGCACUGCCACGGUGAAUACGUUCCCGGGCCUU
rnacentral:rRNA from 1 species